rnacentral:rRNA from 1 species
GCGACCGGCGCACGGGUGAGUAACACGUAUCCAACCUGCCGUCUACUCUUGGACAGCCUUCUGAAAGGAAGAUUAAUACAAGAUGGCAUCAUGAGUCCGCAUGUUCACAUGAUUAAAGGUAUUCCGGUAGACGAUGGGGAUGCGUUCCAUUAGAUAGUAGGCGGGGUAACGGCCCACCUAGUCUUCGAUGGAUAGGGGUUCUGAGAGGAAGGUCCCCCACAUUGGAACUGAGACACGGUCCAAACUCUUACGGGAGGCAGCAGUGAGGAAUAUUGGUCAAUGGGCGAGAGCCUGAACCAGCCAAGUAGCGUGAAGGAUGACUGCCCUAUGGGUUGUAAACUUCUUUUAUAAAGGAAUAAAGUCGGGUAUGGAUACCCGUUUGCAUGUACUUUAUGAAUAAGGAUCGGCUAACUCCGUGCCAGCAGCCGCGGUAAUACGGAGGAUCCGAGCGUUAUCCGGAUUUAUUGGGUUUAAAGGGAGCGUAGAUGGAUGUUUAAGUCAGUUGUGAAAGUUUGCGGCUCAACCGUAAAAUUGCAGUUGAUACUGGAUAUCUUGAGUGCAGUUGAGGCAGGCGGAAUUCGUGGUGUAGCGGUGAAAUGCUUAGAUAUCACGAAGAACUCCGAUUGCGAAGGCAGCCU